GCCCUUAGUAUGAAUACAUAUGGCCUGAGCCCAAGCGUGUUUAUUCUGAAGUAAACCCUGCGUGGAUUGGGACUGUCUCCCACGUAAAUUCGCUGGAAAUGGAAGCCAUAGGCUGCAACUCUAUGCACGCUUACUUAGGAGGCGGCUCCACAGAACCCAACGAGGUUAAUUCCUGAGUAAACAUGCCUAGGAUCAAGACUACAAGGACCUGAAAUUGAUUCAGUAUUGGCCUCGGGAGCGGUAAAUUCUCAAACCACUCACUUCUGGAGUAGUCCUCUUGAAUGUAGGCUAACAACGGUAGUGAUAGGAAUAAUGAAGAUGAUGAUAAGUGGAUAAUUUGAGGAUAGAGAGGUUCAGUCGCUUUCAGAAUUGAAGCCCUACGUGGGUGCAAGAGUCCUAGACAGCGGUGGGAAGGAAAGUCCCAGCUUCUCAGGUAAAGCAACAAGGUUAACUCAAUAGACGUUGGGGUAUCAGUCCUUCCGGAUAGCCUUUUUAAAAAUUCUGUGGUAUUAAAUGAUCAAAUAGGAUUAGGCUUGCAAACAAACAAACACAUUAUAUUUUGUGCUAAAAUAAAUUUCUCUAAUAUUACCUGUAUCUUGAUGUGGGUAGUAUAACCCCUUCCAUAAGAAAUAAUAAUAAUAAUAAUAAUAGGGAUUAAACUGAAGGAAGUCACUUUGAGAUGCAACCUUUCUGAGUUGGGUUCAGGGGGUCAGGAGUCCAGUUCCUUACCCAAUCAUCCUGCUGCAUUUUUUAAUUGUUGGUGGAGCACCGUCUCUCAGCCCAGUCUACCUCACACGGUUAUUAUGAGGUUAAACAGAGGGUGGAAAGGGGAUUUCUCCAAGGAGCGAGGAAAGAAUAGAAACGUCACCAUAAACAUUUUUAGAUAGGGAAUGUGUAUUAAUUUAUGGGCACGCAUCUACAUUUCUUGCAAAAAAAAUUUCUAGAUUUUUUUUGUUUGGUUUUGGUAUGUCACAGCAGAAUAAAAAGCCAUUAGAAUUAUUUCAACUCCCUCCCCAUUAAAAUCUUAAUCCUGACAACAACAUAAAUCCUCUAAAAUGGGGGUGGGAGGAACACUUUUGAAACGUGCUCAGUUUGGGGCUUGAGAGGGAGAAUCUCCUGUUUGGUAGAAAUAGAGAAAUCCAUCCACGUGUCAGUUUUAAACUAAGAAGGAGGUGUUUUUACAGCUGACUCCAGAGGAGCCAAUCGCAAUUCCUGGGCGCGAAUCCGCUUUGCUCCUGAAAGAAAGCCUCUCUGACUCGCCUCAGAACAGGGGGAUCCACCGCACAUCGAAACGAUUAGCUAGGAUUAGCAGCACUCCGCGCUCCUAAACCCGUUUCCCGGAAAGUUAAGUCCAACUGAUCUCCAGCCGACUUACUCGAAAAGGUGCUUCCAUUCACACGUGACGCUGCGCUAAAUCGGACGAAGCCCCAGCAGAUCGCUCCACCUGCUCUUUUGUGCUACUCAGGCCGCAACGCCAAUUUACCCGGGAGUAAGCUCCGCUGCAUUCAAUAGGACUUACUUCUAAGUAGGCAUGACUUAGACUGCGCUGCCAGCUUCCAAACUCUGUCAAAAUCAGGAUCCAUCCGUUUGUAAGGUUUGAGGGGGAAGAGAACCCCUAUUUGGAGCAAAGCGUAAACAUGCGGCACCCAGGAACCCCCAAGGCUGGUUUUUUGAAGAUCUCUGCGGCCUUUUUCAUCUACAUUUUCCUGUAGGGAAGAAGGGGAGCAGUGAGUGCCCCUAUUCUCUUAACCUGGGGGGUGGGCAUGGCGGGUUGAGGUUCUCUAGGGUGGGAGAAGAUCAACCUGGAAAAAUAAACCUGUUUUCUGGCUGCUGAGCUCCCUGGUCACGUGGGCCAGAGUUUAAAGGUGAGGUGUUGCAUGUUCCCACCUCCGGAUCAAUACUCUGCUUUCUGUAUGGAAUCAGGCAGACAAGCGGCUCUUUGUGUGCUGAAUAUGCCUUUGACUCGGCUCUGGAUUUCCACGCUGAGCGUCUCGAAGGCGAAAUGAAAACAGUCUCCAACACCCCUUUUGUAGGGAAAGAGGCACACGACACAGGAUUAUUUCAGAUUAGGAUCGUUUCCUAUCCAGGGCAUUAAAUGACUGACAAACACACAUAAAACGCCUUGCUCGCAGGAGUCCUGGGAACCUCAGCUGUAAGCGUCACCAUAUAUAUAUGCCUUUAUUAUCAGCAAUAAUAAUAAUCGUUUAAAAAAAGGAAACAUGCUCUUGGAUCAGUAUAAGUGUUUUGCUUUUUACCGUGCUAUUUUAAUUUCUUUCUCCCCCCACCAAAAGCAGUAAAUAAGAGUAACUCAGGAAUUGCCCCCCUUAUUAAUAUUUGAGAAAAAUUGCACGCACCCCAAUGAUAGGAGACGUAGGCUUGCUGUUUUUACGCAUCCAAUAGCAAGCGUGGGGAAGGAUAUAAAAUACUGUUUUGAUAUCAAAUAUUCUCACCGUCUUUCUAUAAUUGUAAGAGGAAUCCUGCAUGCUUGUGUCAGAAUUUAACCUUUCUCCUCUUCAGUCCUUUAUAUUAAAAGGCGUGUGUGUGUGUUCUCCAAAUAUACUUAACCUUUCUCUCUCUCUCUCUCUCUCAAAAAAUCUAUGUCAUCAUGACACCAGCGUGCAAUAUUCGAGGAGCAAUCGUGGGCAGAUUGAAGUCAAAUUUGAGCACUCAAGUCCCAUUCAUUCCAGUGAGGGAGAUUUAACCACCAAUUCAUCAUCCCCCCCUCCCCAAUGAAAUGUUUAAACACACACACACAAUUUAAUGCUAUUCGAUGAAUGUGUUGACAUACAUUGUAUAUGUUUUUAUCUGAUAGGCAUUCAGGCAUCUAGUAGUAUUUUUGCUCGCGUCCUGAGCGAGGUGUGUGGAAAGAUCACAGGCUGAACCCCACCCCACCCCGCUUUCUCUCUCUCUCACACACGUGUGCACGUGUGCAGCACGAAUGGCUGUGUCCUCGUGUGCAAAGCCUUCAUUCCUGUUGGGAACAACCUAAUUGUACACGGUGUGCUUGAUGAUUCUCUGUGAAGGUCCAUCGGUGCCCUCUGAUAUUUUUUAACCCCUUGGUCUCCUUUGAAACAAACUAAAUCCUCGGGUACACGUGUUUAAACACGCCGCCCAAUAGAUACACGCAUGCAAUAGAUAUUUUAAGCGAGUUUGUAUUUGCUGCAGAGGGGGAGAGAGUGAAAUCUCAACAUUUAAUCCGGGGGCAGGGGCAAUAUUUUUUUCUAGGAGGUGAAGAAGCAAAGAAUAACGUGUCACUGAUAUUUUUUGUUGGUUGAAAUGUCUUUAUAUUUAUUUUUAAAACCCUUCCACAGGUCUGUGGGAUACUAGGGAGGCAGGCGUUGGGUGGACCUGAACUCUCUCUUUUUUUUUAGUUUGGAAGGUUUUUUUCUGCCCCCCUCCCCUCCUUCUCUUCCUUUUCUUUCUCCUCUCCCAAAACCAUCUGGCACGUGAGUGCGGGGGUAUUGAUCAAAUCCGUGUGUGCUGGUGACCCCAUGCUAAUCUAUAGCGUUGCUGGCCAUCAGUUUUGCUUAGGAAGCGCAUCUGCCUGCCCUGUUCCGCUCCCAAACAGUCCUAUGAUCCUUCCUUCAGGUUCCCCUUUGCCCCAACUCCAACCUCCAUUCAGGGGUAAGUCAUGCUCGCUCUCUCUCUCUCUCUCUCUCUCUCUCUCUCCUUUUCUUCACAUUUUGUUUUGGGGAGGUGGGGGCUGGCGGGGCGACAAAGGACCGAAAUGCCGUAGACCAGGCUUUCCUGCAUUUGGCGAGCUUCUCCGAUUUGACUUCGUGGAACAUGAAUAAUAAUAAUAAUACUGGCGAAUUAAGAGCAGGAAGGAGUUUGCAGGAAGGCCUAGGGAGAUGCCGCCCAGAUACUGGCGCUGCGUUUAACAUCUGGAAGAGGAGGUGGACUCGCUUUCUCUGUGGCUGUAUUUAAAGCAGAGGCACCUCAGGGAAAUGUCCGGACGGUGAACGCGAAGGGGAGAAGGGUUUUUUGGCUGGUGAAAUGAGCUCGCCCCUUUAGAAAGGCUCAAAAGAGGCGCUGAGAUCUUGGGUUCCAAUUCAAAGUGAAUGAAUUUUAAAAUCCUAUUACUUCCGCCCACCACCCCAGGGGUCAACGUUAGGAGAUGAUCUAGGUAAGGAAGUGAGGAAGAUCCUCGCUUCUUCUGGCAAGAGGGAGAAGUUUUGCAAUGUGUCCGAAGUGGAGUUUGAGAGUUUCAUAGCUUUCUUGGUUGGAGAAAGGCGGGGAGAUGGGGGCAGAAAGAGUUGGGUGCGAAUUGCAAGAUUUAUGCGGCUGUAAAUGCCAGAGGAACAAAAAGGAGAAAGGAAAGGAAGAAAGCGAUUGGACAAGGGAGGGAUCCUGCUCCUACUGAAGGCUAAUGCAGUUGGGGUUGGAGAGAGGGAGGCAGGAUUGGUAGUCCGAAGCGCUUUUUUGGGUGGAGCUUUUUUUAUUGGUGCAAAAUGAGGUGGUUUGCAAAUCUGGCCUCAAGGUAUGAUCAAGGCAAUGGUGGCCUUGAAACUGGUGAGUCUUAAGACUGGCCACCUGUCAGGAUUUGGGGCACGGUGCCCUCCUCUCUCCAUCUUCCCCCCUCUCUCUCUUCACGCCAAAAAGCUUGGGUGGGGUGGGGGGAGGAAUAAAUGGAUGUGGGAAAGAAGAAGGCGUGCAAAGAACCGAGAUGGGCGCAAGAGGAAAGGGAGGACAGAGCCACUUCCCCCCAAAAGCUUCGAAGUUCCUUGACUCACAGGCUGGCAAGUCAAGUCAGUUAGCCAGGAAAGAUCGCACAUUUCGGGGGAUGAAACUCAACCCAAGAGUCCUGUGACACCUGCAAGGCUAACACAUUACUGUGCAGUCAGUCACCACCAGCUUUUCCUGUAAGGGAGCUGACCCUCCAGUCCAGGAAAACGUCCGUGCAGUUGACCAAUGUAUAAUGAUAAUGAUAAUGAUGAUAUAAUAAUUGCUACAGACUAACAUAGCAACCGCUGUCGAAUUUACCACGUUCUUCACUUCGAGGUUUAAAGGGCUUAUUUUUUCGUAUGUGUGUGAGGGUCUCCUUUCUCUCCGUCCAACACCCCCUUAUUUCCCACCUCCCAGUUUUAAUCAGUAACUUCGAAAGGAGUUCUCUCUCUCUGUCUCUCUCUCUCCUUGUUUGGCGGGACAAUCUUAUCUCUGGCAACCCUGUGGCCAUCUUUUGUUUUGUUAAAGCUGCCCUCUUUUCAAUUCACCCUCUCCACCCCUUUCAACCCCUCCAACCAACCCCACCAACCCGGCCCCCCCCCUCCUCCAGGAAUCUGUUUCUUGCUGCUGGGAAUCGCUAGAUGGAAACGUCACCUUCUUUUAAGGUCAGAGAAAGUUAAUCCUGUUUCUGUUCUAACCCACCGAGGAGGACAUCAGGGAGAGUUUCAAAUUCGACAGAAAAGAAAUAAAGAAGGGGGAAAGAAAGAGGGGAGAGCGCGCAGCCUUCCAAAUCCUUGCAUCAAGAUAGCUCAAUUAUACUAUUUUGGGUUUUGAGCGUGGAAGGGGAAAAAAGAAAGAAAAGGCCACAGGUUUCUUUGAAAGCAGAGGAAAGCUCUAGGUCUGGAUCCAGACUUAAUCGCACAUAAAGCAAGUUAGGCAUGGCUUACUUAAGUCCCAUUAAAACCCACGAGUCUAACUCGAAGUAUGACCUUAAGUCUGGCGUCAACCCCGUAGACCUUUGGAAAGGGAAAAAUGCGAUUUACAGUACUGGUGGCUAAUAAGAUUGCCGCUUUUGGGCGCAAGAGCACUGGGGGGGGGGGGGCAGCGGACUCCCUUUAUGAACAGAGGAAAACUUCCCAAUUGAAAGCCUCAAAGGGGGAAAUGGGAGGGGGUGUGUGGUGAAAGAGAAGCGACAUUUUGCCCCUGUCCCUCCUAUUAAACUGAAGACACCCCAGGAGUUCAGCAGGCUGCCGUUUCCAUCGUCCUCUUGAUUCGAUUCCGGUGCUGUUUGUAUUUCCAAGAGGACUCCAUCCGGCUGAACGCCAAAGAAUUUGGUUUAACUGGGAUGCUGACCCCACCGUGUACGCGAGGUGUGUGUACCCCUAUGCUCACCUGCAUGUGUGCAUUCAUACACCAGACUCCCCAGGAGCACACGCAAGUUGGUGGUAGCAAUACAAUACAAUACAAUACAAUACAAUACAAUACGUUUUAGUUAUUUAAAUUCAAAGGCCACUUUAACCCAGCUACAGAACCUUCCCAUUCUUACAUCUUACGCAGUACCUUUCUUAAACAUACCCAAUUUUAUCUUAUGCAUGCUUUAUUUGUGAGACUGUACAACUAGACUUUAUAUGUGUACGUCCUUUUAUAUAUUCUUAUACACACCUCUGUCUACAUUUUAUUUCUAUAUACUUUCUGCAUCUGGAUUAUUUAAUUAUACUUUAUUUAUCUACGUGGCUUAUUUUAUAACCUUUCUUUCUUUCUUUCUUUCUUUCUUUCUUUCUUUCUUUCUUUACAUUUUAGAAAAAAUAAAAAAAUAAAUAAAUCCAAUGAGACUGAAAGCUUUUAACGUCCUAUAUGGAGAGAUACCGAAUUUUCCUUUUCCUUUCAAACCCGCAGUCCUCUCCUGACUCCAACUCAGGGACACGUUUCCUUCAAAUAAGAAAGUAUGUAUAAAAUUGAGUCUUCUCCUCUCAUCCCCCCUAACAAGCGACUCACCCUCCGUUUAACACGGGAGGAGGAGGCGGGCGGGGCGGCGGGGGGGUCCCGAAGCAAAGCGGCGCGAGGUCUCUUUGUUCCGCUCAAGUUGGGCGUGAAAUCUUUUUGUUGCGCUUUCAAAAGGAAGGCAAAAGUUGCUGUUGAUUGUCAAAGGGACAAAUUUAACUCUCCGAAAGCGGAAGCUGGCUUCGGAGGAGAAACUCGGGCCGCGAUUUUUUAAUUUAUCGCCACUUUGGGGUGGACUCUCUCGCUGGUCGAGGACAUUUCACGUUUACUUGUGAGAAAUCCAAAAGAGAAAUCCAGCCGACGUCUCUCUUUCUGAAGUUUAAGGGAAGGAGAGGGAGAGGGAGAGGAGGAGGAGGACAUACGAAUUUUAAACCCGAGAAGUUUGAGCUAUAAAUAAUUUCCUUUCUUUCUUUUUUACUUUAGGGGAAAGUUUCCCACUUGUUGGAAACGAUAAAUCUACAGGCAGCGACUGUUCUGAGCUAUAGGAAAGCCUGCUUCGAUCUGAGGUCUUUGGAAACUUUAAGAAUAGCAUGAAAAAUUUACUAGGUUUCAGCUCUUUUCGGUGGAAGGUGCCCGAAAAACUAUAUUUUUGGAAAUAUCUUUCUAAGCCGGUAUGGGAACAAAGGAAAUUUGUAUAUAUAUAUUUUUAACUCCCGGGUGUUUGCUUGAAGAGUUUUCCUGACAUCCAACCAAUUUCUUCACGGCUUCGCGCUCCACGCAAACACCUGCCCAAGAUCCCGAAAGCACUUCCCUCAACUCCUCGGUAGUAACUUUUGCUGAAAGCAGUAAACUUCCAAUUAAUCGAGCAAAUCAAAGCCUUGUAAACCGGCUCGUGAGCUUUCCUGCAGCUCGAUCCGGAAAGCACUCGAGCGGAAUUCAGCUCAAAUCGGCUCAGAGAUCCAUCUAAAUCCAACGCACAAUGAAAACCUACUCGGCAAUUCCUGCUGGAUUUGGACCUCGGUGUGGUCGGCGAUAUGGAAAACUUUUUUUUUCUAAUUUUUGAUGCGGUGACUUAGCUGAGUCUAAUUCUUCGUUUUCCAUUCGCUGACUUUAAAUAUAUAUAUAUAUAUAUAUAUAAAAAACUGUGUAAGAUCCUACAGCUCAGAGUAGGGGAAAUCCAGGCUAUACCUGAAAGAGGUUUGUAAAAGAUCGGUUUGUAGUGGACUUCAUGAGGUAUAUAUUUAAAUCUGCCAGCCUGAGUUGAGGAGGGUGCAAUAUGAAUAAUAAGAAAUAUAAUUCAUGCAUGCUUUAUGUUUACACAUAGAUUAAAAUGU